rnacentral:rRNA from 1 species
AUUUUGACUAUACAAAGGUAUUGAAAUAAGAUUUUAAUUGAAUGCUAAGAGAAUGGAAUUUCAGGAAAAAGCUUUCUUUAAAUUAAAAAUUGAAUUUUUCUUAAUUUGUGCAGAGACAAUUAUUAAUAUUAAGGACAAGAAGACCCUAUGAAUUUUAAUGGGAGAUUACUAUUAAUAUAAAUUUUGGCUGGGGCGGCAAGAAAAUAUCAAAAACUUUUCAGAUAAUAAAAUGAUCCAUUAGUAAUGAUUACAUGUUAAAUACUCUAGGGAUAACAGCGUUAUAUUUUUUGAUAGAUCAUAUUGACAAAAAAGUUUGCGACCUCGAUGUUGGAUUAGGAUACUUUUUUAAUGCAGAUAUUAAAAAAAGAAGUUUGUUCAAC